ACAUCGCGUCGCCACACCUCGACUCUCCUCCGCUCUCCCAUCUGACCCCCCUCCUGCCUACUGCCCCCUCUCUCCUCGUCCGCUGUGCUGCGUCGUCUGGCGCCCACCCCCCACCCCCACCCCUGCCGUGACCUCUCCCCUCUUCCUCGGCGCCGCCCUUCUCAGUCUCUCGCUCUUGUCCCUUCUCGCCCAUGAAGUACAGUAUCCCCUCGUUGUCUACGUGGUGCUCCAGUUCGUGGCGUUCCUCUUUGUGUUGGUGGGAACACCAUCUGACAUGUUCCGCAUUCCAGAUACUACCGAGGGACCGCUUUGCUUCACGCUGUGGGGGGAUAAAGUGACCUGCGAUUCCUCCGGUUAUUUACAGUACGUAGAACUGCUCUGGAAAGAUUGCCCAUCACGCAUCACCCGAUUCCGCCUUGCGCAGGGAUGCGCCAUCAUCUCCAUCUUCGUCUACUUUGCGGCGUUGGUGCUGGGCUUUCUUUUGUUGUACGGCGUCUCUCUGCUCCGGUGGGUCUGCCUGGUACUCAACGUGGUCGGCAUGGUCACCUCGUGCGUUGUGUGGGCGGCCAUGGCAGUGACGUACAACAAGGACGAAAUGAAUUGCUUCGCUAUAAAGACGAUAGGACAGUAUGGUGCCGGCUUCGUGCUCUUUGUGCUGGCCUGGAUACUGGAUGUCAUCAACAUCAUCAUCUUGCUGCUUCCCUGCACGGCCGCAGGAGCUGCGGAAACCGAUAAAAAGGCAGAACCUCCAACCGCGCAGGAGUAGGAUAGAGAUAGGACAAGUGAGAGGAGGGCGAGCUUGAGAACGUCGCGGCCCCUCCCCCACACCGGCGUCCUCGUGGUGGAGCCGGUGUCGGCGACGAUGAGGGUGCGCAAGCUGCGGGUUCCCGUGUGUGCCCUUCGCCGGCCCAGCCCUCUCGCUGCCCUGUCCUUCGUGCAUGCGUGUGCGGCACGCCGUGCACCGGGACAGCUGCCGAGGGGUGGUUGCGGCACUUCCUCCAGGAGUGCUGAUGGCACACGGCGCCUGUAUGCGUGUGUGUCUGUGUGCAGGCGCCCCCUGCGACCCUCCUCCCUCUUCUUCCGUGAGCGGCCCCCUCGACCGCGCCCCUCCCUCGCCUACGCUGCCGUUGCUCGCGCGUCUCUGUUUUCGUGCGUUGUUCGCGGGUGCCGCCGCACGCUCUCGCGCUCCUUGACGCUCGUUUCUCUUUCGGGUUCUGCGAUGCUUGCUGUUCUCUCCUCCGCGCAGAGAGAGGUGCGUGGUGUGCGCGUGUGCGUGCCCCUCUUGUCGCUCUCCGCACCCCCCCCCUCCUGUGCGAGUGUGUGCUGGUGGAGGCGGCUGACUGAGGCGACGGCGCACGCAAGGUAAGCAGCCGUGCAGCACAGCAGGCGCGUACACGCAUACACACCUAUACACGCGGGAACGGGACUGCAGGCGAGGGGCAGGACCGGAGAAUGCGCGGCGGCACGAGCGAGUGCGACGGUGGAGCGGAGCAGAGGCGGGUCUGCUUUCCUGCUCGCUCCUCUGGCGUCUGGCUCGAGUCCGUCUGCGUGUGCGCCCCCUGUGUCGCUGUGUCUCCUCGCCUCUCUCCUGCGCGAUUUGUGUCGAUGGCUUCGUUGCUGACGCACCCCACCGAGUCCUCCGGACUCCGCCGUGGGAAGUCACCACGCCGCAUGUUACGGCACACAGGGCCCUGACCUGGGGCUGUGCAACGUUCUCCCUGGGCUCGUGCGGCACGUAGAGCCACCACUCCCCACGAACGCCCUGCUACCCUUUGUUACCCCCUCCCCACCGACAGACGCCACCGCCUCCGCCGUGGAGAGCGGGACCGUGAGGCCGGCAGCGCUCGCAUGACGGCGUGCGGCGCCGCUGAGGCAUGCGCGUAGGGGAACGGGGAGGGACGGGGCAGGACAGGCCGAGCCCGUUAGGCGCAUGACCCGGUGCAGUGGCAGGACGGCUCGUCCUCGACGACGCGGAUGUGGCUGCCGUGCCACAGGGCGUAGGGGUGCACGGUGGCUGUACGCGCGCAUCUGCCGGCUUGUGCGUGGUGGCGUGGAGGCGGUAAAAAGCGGGUGCAUGCCUCCCGUAUUCAGACGGCAGGUACAUGGAUGCGACUGAACGACGAGUGCAUAUGUAUUUCCAUCUAUAUCUGUGUGUGUGCGCACCAAGACCACCGCCUAACGCCUCACAUGACGUUGUCCUCGCCUGACAGGGCGGAGGGCGUUUGCUUCUCCCUUCUCUCUUGCUUGUGUUUUGUUUUUGUGCUUCGUGACGCGCCUUCCUGCGCGCGUGCCUCAUCGCUCUCAUGCUUGCCUCCCUUUUCCGACUCCCUCACCCCGAC
rnacentral:misc_RNA from 1 species